AAGACGGGGAAAGUGACUCUACCUAAUGAAACUGUCCUUCUACAUCUGCCAAUCUGUGCCUUCCUAACAUCUAAACUGCAAAUAAUAUUGGAUGUGCUGAGGAUGCCAAUUUCCUUCUGGUGCCCAAUGAAAAGAGCUGCACGGCUGAAUGAACACCAACAAAUCUCUUUGCAGAAGUUAGUAAGGGCAACGUCGAGGAUCUGCCACAACAUGUCCUUCCAACUCUCGGGCACCAGGAAAAUCCUAACCACUAUUUGGGGCACUUGGACGGUCUUCAACUUCACUUUGAAAGAAUAAUCAGAAUUGCUAUCAUUUUUAUAGAGGAUUCUAAUGGCAGUUCUGUGGAACUAGAUGAACCAGCGUGGAAAAAAAGGUCAUUUUGCUGCCAGCUGGGUGACAUUAGGGCCAAAACUCUGGAUUUCUGAGCAGCACAAUGAGCUGGCAAGUGAGCUCUUUUAAAGACACAAUUCAGGAGGAGCAAUCAAUAAGAAUUUGAAUAUACUUGCCUCAAGAAGUGCUGGAGAAAGCCUUCCAAAGCUGAAGAGAACCGGAACUAAGCCAAAGAUUCAUAUUGCUACAAUAAGUAGUCAAAUAUUCUA